rnacentral:rRNA from 1 species
AUACGGAGGAUGCAAGCGUUAUCCGGAUUUACUAGGUUUAAAGGGUGCGCAGGCGGAAUGAUAAGUCAGUGGUGAAAGCCCCUCGCUCAACGAGGGAAUUGCCAUUGAAACUGUCAUUCUUGAGUGUAGUUGAGGUGGUUGGAAUGUGUUGUGUAGCGGUGAAAUGCGUAGAUAUAACACAGAACGCCAAUUGCGAAGGCAGAUCACUAAACUACUACUGACGCUGAGGCACGAAAGCGUGGGGAGCGAACAGGAUUAGAAACCCCGGUAGUCC